rnacentral:tRNA from 1 species
UCCGGAGUAGCUCAGCGGUAGAGCGAUCGGCUGUUAACCGAUUGGUCGUAGGUUCGAUCCCUACCUCCGGAG